UGGGGAAUCUUGCGCAAUGGCCGAGAGGCUGACGCAGCGACGCCGCGUGUGGGAGGAAGCCCUUCGGGGUGUAAACCACUGUCAGGGGGGAAGAACCCCGGUCAUGGAAACACCAUGGUCGGCUGACGGUACCCCCAGAGGAAGCGCCGGCUAACUCCGUGCCAGCAGCCGCGGUAAGACGGAGGGCGCAAGCGUUGUCCGGAAUUACUGGGCGUAAAGCGUGCGCAGGCGGCCUGCUAAGUCCUUUGUGAAAUCCCGGGGCUCAACUCCGGAAUUGCAGAGGAUACUGGCAGGCUAGAGAACGGUAGAGGUCAACGGAAUUCCCGGUGUAGCGGUGGAAUGCGUAGAUAUCGGGAAGAACACCAGUGGCGAAGGCGGUUGACUGGGCCGUUUCUGACGCUCAUGUACGAAAGCGUGGGGAGCAAACAGGAUUAGAUACCCCCGUAGUCC
rnacentral:rRNA from 1 species